rnacentral:tRNA from 1 species
AAGGAAAUGUGCCCGAAAGUUAAGGGCUACUUUGAUAGAGUAAAAUACAGAGGUUAAAGUCCUCUCAUUUCC